GGGAAGCCAUAUUUAGGGUUUUCAAGGUUCCAAUCUCCAUAGUAAGUGAUUCCAAGCCCCGUUUUUAAUGUUCUUUAUGUUUUUGAGAUCCCGGUAGCUUAAUUUAGCUUAUUCUAGCAAUAAUUUAACCUAGGGUUUAUAUUUGGAAAAAUACCCAUAGGUGAAAAGUGUUUAUUUUGAUGUUUUAUGAUAGAAUAUGAAGCUAUAAAUUAUGUUAAACAACUUUUGCUAGCCGAUUUUAAGCGAAAACGAGUAAGUUGACAUAAUCGGUAAAAAUCCCUAAUGUACAUAAGUAAGUGUUAGAGUGAGAAUUUGAUGUUGUCAUAGAAGAGAAAAAUUUUAAGCAUGUUAUAAAACAUAAGAAUAUGAAAUUAAGUUUAAUUUCUGGGCCUUGGGGAAAAAAUGUAAUUAUGUAAAAGUUUAGGGGUAAAAUCGUAAUUUUGACAAAGCUAGAGUCGAGGGCUGUUUUGAUAAAUGUGAGUAUUAAAUGAGUUAAAUUUGCUAUUUUAGAUCAAGAAGAACGAAACUCGAGGUUAGACAAAGGAAAGAAUAAAGUUGAAGACUAAGUUGGUGAAUUGGGCUAUAUUUGGGAUCGAGGUAAGUUUACGAUAAAUAAAUGCAAUAUUUCAAUAACUUUUAUUAAUGCUGAUAUUUUCCAGCAACUAUGAAUUUAUUUGAUGUUGAUUCAAGUAUAUAAUGAUAAAGAAUUUAAUAUUAAAAAGUCCCGUUGAUACAUAAGGAAAGUACUGGAUACGAAUGUCAUGCCAUUUGGGUAAAGAGAUCCCAUGUAAGACCAUGUCUGGGACAUGGCGUUGGCACCGAGACAAGGGGUCCCCUGUAAGACCAUGUCUGGGACAUGGCAUGGGCACCGAUAUGAGAACAUCUCAUGUAAGACCAUGUUUGGGACAUGGCUUUGGCAUGUUAUGAUCAGAAAAGACCCAAGUAUCCUUAUUAUUCCAAUGUGGCUCAACGGGUUAGUAAACGAAUCAUGUACAUGAAAGUUCAGUUAAAAGCAAAAAUGGCAAGCUUAGGUGAGUUAUAAGAGUUAAGAAUUUAUUAUAUUGACAAUUGAUAUUCAACGAUGCAGCAAGAGAAGAGUAAGUUAUGCACACAAGUAUACUAAGUAAACAAGCAAGAGAACUAGAAUGAGAUUAACUAAAGAGUAAACUAGAGAUAUAGACACUUGAGUUUAAUUAUUUGUGUUUAAUGUUGUUAUUUAUUUGCUAGUAAACUUACUAAGUUUUAUGCUUACUUAUUUUAUUUCUCUUUCUCUUAUAGUAUUGCAAGCUACUUCAAGUAUCCUAAAGAAGUCGGAGAUCGUCCACACUAUCAACCGCAAUAAUUCGGUAUUUUAUGAUGAACCAUGUUUGGGUUAUGGCAUGUAUAGGGACUUAGUUAUUUUGAAUGUUUGUAUUUAUGAUUUUUCUAAAGGAUAUUAUGUAAGUAUUUGAUGAUGACUGGUUGUUAAAUAUGGUUAAGUAUGAAGGUG
rnacentral:lncRNA from 1 species